rnacentral:rRNA from 1 species
GAUGAACGCUGGCGGCGUGCCUAAUACAUGCAAGUCGAGCGAACAGACGAGGAGCUUGCUCCUUUGACGUUAGCGGCGGACGGGCGAGUAACACGUGGAUAACCUACCUAUAUGACUGGGAUAACUUCGGGAAACCGGAGCUAAUACCGGAUAAUAUAUCGAACCGCAUGGUUCAAUAGUGAAUGACGGUUUUGCUGUCACUUUUAGAUGGAUCCGCGUCGCAUUAGCUAGUUGGUAAGGUAACGGCUUACCAAGGCAACGAUGCGUAGCCGACCUGAGAGGGUGAUCGGCCACACUGGAACUGAGACACGGUCCAGACUCCUACGGGAGGCAGCAGUAGGGAAUCUUGCGCAAUGGGCGAAAGCCUGACGGAGCAACGCCGCGUGAGUGAAGAAGGUCUUCGGAUCGUAAAACUCUGUUAUUAGGGAAGAACAAAUGUGUAAGUAACUAUGCACGUCUUGACGGUACCUAAACAGAAAGCCACGGCUAACUACGUG